GGCGACGCAGACCAAUGCCGCCGCCGCCGCAGCGGCGGCGGCGGUGGCGGCGGCGGAGAGAGAGCGAGACAGCGGCGGUGGAACGCGCAGGCUGGCGGCGGCGGCGGCGGUGGCGGCGGAGAGAGAGCGAGACAGCGGCGGUGGAACGCGCUGGCCAGCCUGCUUUCGCGUUCGGCCGUGCGUGCGGGUCCGUGGGAGGGAGGGGAGCUGGAGCUGGUGGGGGAGGGCGACCGUGUAAUGGAGCCGUGGGGCGUUUUCAAGUGCUCGCCAACUGUUCGACCUUUUGCCUCGCAGGGCGUACGCUCGAUUUCUCAUGUACUGUACCUUGAAGAGAUGUGCUCCGGUGUGUGCAUCCACGGCACUGAAGGGAUCAUCUAAGAGGUAAACAUCAGAAUCACUAUACAAUGCUCUGGCAAGCUGAAUCCUCUGCUUCUGGCCUCCACUCAGGUUCAUGCCCCUCUCCCCUACCAUAGUCAUAUCACCAUUGGCCCAUAACUCCAAAUCUCUAUCCAAAGCACAACCAUGCAGCACCUCCUCAUAGAAGCUUCUGUCCAUAUCCUUCCCAAAGAGCACAUUGUCUUGAAUUGUCCCAGUCUGAAUCCAUGCACUCUGCGCAACAUAUGCCCUUGACCCAAAAACUGUUGUUUCUGCACCAUUAAUCCUUGGGAUCUCCCCCAUGAUGCUGUAAAGGAGGCUUGAUUUACCAGAACCAACUGGCCCGCACACUGCAACCUUUUGACCCUUGCUGAUGCUCAGCUUUCUGUCAAUCUUAAGCAUGAAUUUUGUCUUCUUCAAGCUAUUGUCAAUUUCCCAACCAUAUACCCCUGGUUCAAUUUCCAUUGCACCAGUCAUAGACAGGUCCUUAGUCCUAGUGUUAUUGUCAGAACGACUUGGCUUCCCCUGGUGUUCUUCUUUGAUGAACUCUUCAAUUCUAUCUAGGGACACCUUGGUUUGUGUGACCAUUGAAACGAGCUCUGGGAGGUUGUAGAUUGGAUCUUGGAGGAUUCUGAACGUGGCAACGGCGGAUAAGACUGUUCCAGCUGAUAAUGGCAUCUCCACAAGAAUACAUACACCAAAUGUGACAACCGACACCAAGGUCGGUGAGGCCCAAAACAGGAAGGCAAUUGCUGAACAUGUGUAGAGAUAUUUCCUGAGCCAUCCCCUCUCCACAUCCCUUAGAUUCAGUAGCUUGUCAAAGUAAGCUGUCUCCCAUGCAUGCAGCUUCAAUAUCCUCAUACUCUUCAUUGCUUCAGCCAUAGCCUUUAUCCGUGAGUCCUUCGCUUCCAUGAUCUUCAUGUUGAGGUUCUCCUGUGACUUUGCAAGUGGUGUGUUGCUCACCAUAACCAAAACUGUUGCAAGGACUGCAGACAGCGAGGCCAUUGCACCAAGGCUACGGUAGAGAAUGGCAAGUGCCAAGGAUAUUUGCAAGGGUAGCAGCCAAAUUCUAUGUACGUACCAGAAGAAUUCGCUAACCUUCUCAACAUCGACAUCGAGGAAGUUCACAAUUUUCCCGCUGGCUGUGCUUGAGUUCUUCAUCAGCAGGGAUUUCUGAUAGAUGGAUACCAUCAGUGCUGCACGCACCCGGAAACCAAUCCUGCGGGCACCAAAAUACCAUUGCCGCUGUGAAAGUGACUCCACUGUCUUUGAGGCAAAGAAAAGGCAUGCUAGCAUGUAGCCAUGGCCAUGGCCCUUGUCAGGAUUCUUGUCAGAGAGUAGCUCCACUAAGUAGGUGAUCAAGAAUGGCCCCAUAUAGGAAGCAAUAGUGUUAAGCCCUGGUAAUAAAUGCAAAGCAUCAUGUUAGUAUAAUAUAAAGGUCAAAGGGUAGCUCCACUUUUGUUCUUCCAAUGGCUCACUAACCUGCAAAGACUCCAUUGGCGAUCAAAGGUGUCCAGACAGCACAAAUAAUGGCUCUCCGCAUAGGCAUUGGCUCAGGUUUCUGCUUGUGAAGUGUCUCUUGAAGCAAUGCAUAAGAUUGGUUUGCCGUGUCAGACUGUGGAACAGAUGGGAUAUGGUCGAGCUCAAGACGCACCUUGUGUCCCUUCUCAAAGAUUGGGUUUAACCACUGGAAUGUGAGGCAGCUCCACCACCCGGAGUUGGAGAACCUGUCUGUGCUACUGUCAUCACUGUCUUCUCUCACAAGCAGCGGUUGGUUCUGGUCUUGCUGGUUUGCUUUGGAAGGUCUCAUAGUUACUGCCACGAGGCAGAUGAAUGUGCACAAGGGAAGAGAAGUGAAAUCGACAACAGUUGCAGAGUUGAAGAGGUGAAGCAAAUGCAACGAAGUGAGAAGUGAUUCGGAUAAGAAGCUGAAGAACCACCACGAGAGAAGAACUGAAGGCCAGUUGGAUACAACUCCUGCACCUUCAUGUUUGCAGUAGAGCAAGAAGAGAGUCACUAGAAGCCAUGAGACUGAUUUGAAGAUCAAAUCCAGGGAGACAGUUUGGCGCUUCCAGAACACAAGAACAGAAAAACAAAUAUGCAUCAAGGAGAUUGAAGCAUUGCAAAGUACAAUUAUAUAAGCUGGUAGCAGGACUUCCCCUUUUCUUUGUGAUGAAACCAUGUCGCCAUGUCCUUCUCGGCGAUGUCUCUUGUUCAGCCUGGCAAGCUCUGCAAGGAUCCAAACCAGCAAGAUAGCGAACGAUGCUAUGCGGACAUAAUCCAAUACUGCUAAGGUCUCCAUCCAAUGCCGAAAUCACCAGACGGAUAAUGGGCUUAUGGCAGAGAGAAACAGAACACCAAGAUGACAGGAACUGCACUGUUACAUUGGAGCAAGGCAAGAGUCUAGGGCUAAGGCAAACUUGAAAGAGAGCCAGCAAACAAAGUGAGGAGUGCAGAGCCGAUAAGAGCAGACCAAAAGGAGAACCUGAUUGCAUAUGACUUAUAGGAUCUGGACUUGGGAUCUCCUCUUUUUAAUCGGACCUGCAAUCAACUCGUUCACGACAAGAAGUGCUCUGAUCUUUAAAAAGACAUAUCCAUGAUUUUUGAGAUUCCAUUUCCAUGUCCGGGCCUCCAAGGUACCUUGAGCUGCAGCAUAAAGAAAAUGUAGUAACUACAGCUGAAGUGUUUAUCCAAACGCAAUGGCUAUAUCUGCAACAUGUUAUGAGAUGCAGACAGAAAGUAUGGCAAACCGGGACACCAAUCCAAGUUGCCCACAGAGAUCAAAUCUCGCUACGGCAUCCUGACGCCGGAUCGGCAACUUUGGAGCGGCAUCUCGGUGGCAGUGGAAACUGCCAACAGUGUGCUGUGCAGACAUGCAUGUGUCCACCAUGCGUGCACUUGCAUCGAGUCCUUCGGCUGUACGAUCGAGUGCAUGAUCAUUGAACUACCGAGGUGGCCAAUGCAAAAGAGGACGGCAUGUGAGUAGAAGGUGAGCGAAAGACACAUACAUGCGUCCAAUUUGGUUGGUUAGGACCUUGUGGUUGUGGAAGAGAAGGUAGAACCUAGAGCCUGGGGCACACGACACCUGGUAGGAUGUUUGUUUUUGGCCAUGUUAAUUACAAUAUUAUUACUUGAUAAGUAAACUAUUAAUAGGUAUAGGAUACCUGCUAUUUUUUUCUGGAUCCGCUACUUUAUAUAAGUGAUGUACUUGGGAAGAAAGAAUGGGAAAAUGAGUGCUUAACUUUCAUA